GAGCAGGUUGGUGAAUUCAGGAAUCAUGGCGGUACCUUGCAGGGAUCGAAACGGGACGGAGUUGAAUCUUCGUUCUGUUUU
rnacentral:tRNA from 1 species